AGCCAAGUGGUGAAACGGCAGACACGCGGCCCUCAAAACGUCGCGCCGAGAGGCAUGAGAGUUCAAAUCUCUCCUUGGCUAC
rnacentral:tRNA from 1 species